GUGCCCUUUUAUGACUGACUUGUGUCUUAAAAGGCUAACACAGAAGGGUAAAGAAAAUCUCCAUAAAACCCAGAGAGUAGAUGGUAAAACUUCUCUUUGGAUCCUGUCUGGAGUUACAGCU
ensembl:snoRNA